rnacentral:rRNA from 1 species
AUUGAACGCUGGCGGCAGGCCUAACACAUGCAAGUCGAACGGUAACAGGAAACAGCUUGCUGUUUCGCUGACGAGUGGCGGACGGGUGAGUAAUGUCUGGGAAACUGCCUGAUGGAGGGGGAUAACUACUGGAAACGGUAGCUAAUACCGCAUAACGUCGCAAGACCAAGGAGGGGGACCUUCGGGCCUCUUGCCAUCGGAUGUGCCCAGAUGGGAUUAGCUUGUUGGUGGGGUAACGGCUCACCAAGGCGACGAUCCCUAGCUGGUCUGAAAGGAUGACCAGCCACACUGGAACUGAGACACGGUCCAGACUCCUACGGGAGGCAGCAGUGGGGAAUAUUGCACAAUGGGCGCAAGCCUGAUGCAGCCAUGCCGCGUGUAUGAAGAAGGCCUUCGGGCUGUAAAGUACUUUCAGCGGGGAGGAAGGGAGUAAAGUUAAUACCUUUACUCAUUGACGUUACCCGCAGAAGAAGCACCGGCUAACUCCGUGCCAGCCGCCGCGGUAA